rnacentral:lncRNA from 1 species
UUGGUAAAUGUAUCAGCAGGGAAAUUGCAACUUUGACUGAUGAUAAUUGAUAACUAACAAAGAUUCUGAAAAGUUCGAGGACGUCAAGCAAUAUCUUUGAUCUUUCCCUGGUGCACCAAAGCCGCAAUUUCUGAAAAUGAUGCAAAUAUUUGUGUCAACCCCAUCACCGACUCCAUGCUGCACUGUAUUUGGCAAAUUCUUGUGCAAGCCAGUGGCAAAAAUAGAGCUUCUUGAUUUAAAUUCCUAAUCCAUGAUAACCUGAAAGAUCUGAAUAUUCUCUGAGAGCAAUCUUUCUGAGUGAGUUUUGAGGAGGAUUCAUUUCUCAGUUCUUGCUUU